GUCGCGGGUGUAGGGUGGCGGCGCUCCGCCUUUCACCGACGCACCUGGGAGAAACAGACCGGAGGACGCGGGUGGCGCGGAGCACGAGAAACAACGAGUUUCUGUCUAGAUCGUGGGGGACCCAAGCCCGGGGUUGCGUCCAAGGUCGGGGAUGGAGAGGACGCGACCCCCGCGGCAGUCGAGAUGGCCUUUUUAAAAUUCUAUAUUUGAGAAGGAGUCUCGCGCUGUCGCCCAGGCUGGAGCGCAAUGGCGCGAAAUCGGCUCAUUGCAGCCUCGACGUCCAGGACUCGAGCGAUCCUCCCGCCUCAGCCUCUCGAGAAGGGAGUGGCCAGAAGGCUCCUCUCCAGGCCUCACAGAGGGAAACACUGGUCUAGUGAGAGACCUGCGUCCUGCCCAUCAGGACCGAAGCGGCACGCGUGAGGAUCCUGCAGGCCAAGAGACAACAGCGAUUACAAACCCCAGUCCCAGCCUUGCAGCUGACCUUGCAGGUGACGCCCUGCCUGGGUGUCUCGGUGCAGCUGCACAUCAGGGGCCUCUGCUGGACAGAAGCUCUGAGUCCACACUUGGCCCCCAGGCGCUGGAGCUGGGAGCACUGCCACGAGAGGGGAUGCUGCCGUGGCUGCGCCAGCUUCAGCCCUUUCCCUGCACCGAGAUGUCCCAGUGAGCGGCUGGGUGCUCACAGUUCCCGUUGGGCCAUCAGAGGAAGAUCAAAGAUCAACCCUCCCCCAUGGGCUCCUGCCUGCCUGCCAGGGUUUUCCUGUCUCCUGGAGGACAAGGAUGAGGGCUUUCCACUUGAGUCUCCCUGGUGGAGCCCAGCUCCUGACAUACCUGGUAAAAGUUCUCAAGAGAAGAACAUGGAGGAGGAAUGUGGAUAACAACCCUGGCUGCCUGUGUGUUCCAAGCUAGGAAGAUGUAAUGUCCCCACAAACGGGGUAAAUGGCUUGCCUGCGUCACAGCUGUCUCAAGCCCAGGCCCUGGGUGCCAGCCCAAGCCCAAGGACUAGGUCCAGAGCCACACAGCGCCAGGCCACAUCCGCCUCACCUGGGACCUUUUGUGGGGUACAGUCUCCGGCCCCACCCAGACCUGCUGAAGGAGAGACCCCAUGGCAAGGACUCAGCCACCUGCAGUUUCAUAAGCCCCCAGUGGGUUCCUAGGCAUGAAGACCACCGGUUAGAGGCUGAACUGGCAGGAACCUGUCUCCAGCCCCUUCUCACCCCAGCCGGGCCCUGCCUCAGAGGCAGCACCCAGGACGUGGCCAUGACCCGUGGACUCCACUCAAUCCCUCUUCUCCAGGAGCCAUGCAAAGUGUCAGCCAGCCAGGCCCCUGGAAGGCAGUCAUCACCUCUUAAGGCAUUGCGGGUGUCGGUCCUGCAACUGCCAGGUGCAGCACACGACCCAUGUCCGGUGUUCGAUAGCAGGGAGCCAUGACCUGGCAACGAUUCCACGCUCAAAGGGGCACCCGGGGGGCCCUGGGUCGGGGCGGAUCAGCUUUCCCUGGGCACAUCUGCCUCAUUCCAGAUCUCCAGGGCUCAUGUCUGUGACAGGGAGGGAAGGCUCUGCCCUGGCCUUCCGUCAGCUCUGCCAGUGCAGGCUGGGCAGCCUGGGCUUUAGAGCUGGCUUCUGCCCACACUUUCUCCGUGAAAGGAAAACAACUAUGAGUCUGCCAAACGCAUCUCAGAUGCGUUUUAAAAAAUUCUGGUCCCCGCUCUCUGUCCCAUCAUCUGCCUCGGGGACUUCCUCUCUCCGUGGUUCUCACCCCAUACUCUGUCACUGCCACAUUUUCACCUGGGCCUGGCCUUUGUCUCCACCUGAAACUCCUGAAAAUCUUGAAAUGGAU
rnacentral:lncRNA from 1 species